UGAGUCUCAGGGCUCCAACUCCCAAUUAUGUCAAUUCCAAGGCCAAAAAUUAACAAAAAGACCUUGGCUGGACUUUGAGCAGGACUCCAUUCAUAUGCCCCAGCUCUAACAGACUUCGUGAGGCCCUGUCAAAACCUUCUCUUGGAAGAGAAAGUGAGCUGGCAAGGAAGUCUGAGAAAAGCAGUUGACAGAACCCAAGCCUCAGGAUAAUUGGAAUUGAUCUUUUCGUAUAUUGUUUCUGCAGUCUGAGAGUUUUGGUCUCUUUGCCCCCACCCUGCCUUUAUUCUGGUCUGACUUUGUACUUAUGUAGGCAUAUAGCAUUGAUAACGUGCACAUUUCCAAGUUGGACGUGAAGAGAUCUGUAAUUUUCACCUUCACUGGCUUUCGGGAAUCCAAGCUGCUAUACUGUGAGAAGUCUGAGCCAGGCGGAGAAACCCCUAGCCUGAAAGGAGGCCCUACAGUCAUGGCCUCAGUGACCUCCCAGGAAACAGCUCCUCUAAGCCAUGUGGGAGAGACAUCUAGGAGGUUCUGACAGUGUGGAACCUCCAGGUUUCUACAGCCCUACUCAACAGUGCACAGAAAGGAGA